rnacentral:lncRNA from 1 species
AGCAAAAAAAUCAUAAAUAUAGCUAACUUGCACUAACCACGCAUCACAAUCUCCGAAACCUCCCUCGAACAGUUAAAAUAACCUUCUCUCUUUCUCCCUCCACUUUCAUCUUCCGUUACACCAUACACAUCACUAACGUAUCCCUUGAUUCACACUCCAAUUCAUCCCACCCACCCCAAACCCUAACCCCAAUAAAACUGAUUCCUAUUAGGGUUUCC